GCCAGCAGCUUCAAUGUUUUUCUUUUCUACCGCUAGAUGCCAGGCUAGGACAGAAAAGGCCAAGAGAGCACCGAGAGUAUGGAUAUGGCCUUGGAUAGUACAUACAUUUCCACGUGCUCCCUUGGCUCCACGUGCAAACCCAUCGUGCAAGGAGCACACUGCACGCGUUGACCACCUGCAAGAUUCGUGCAAGCCUUGCAAUGCUUUAGAGAUUCACUUGCAUAAUUUGGCUUUGCUUACAUUUAAACGUAUGAAUCAUGAAUGAUUGACAAUCUGGAUCUGGAUUAAACGGUGUCCAAUCGCGAGCGUCUGGGCCGCCCAGCCGCCGUGAACUGUGGAGGAGCCGAGGACCGACAAGAACCCUCAGUCGGUGCCCCGCUCACGUCCUGCAGUUCGACUCGGACGAGGAUGAUCAUUUGACGGAGGGUAAUCGUCAAUCGACACUGAGAGAUUCAGGCCAUCUGCAGCGCAAGGUACGGCCGGUCCCGCUCGCUUUGAGCGACCACGUGACGCGAUCAUUAAUCAUGGCGUCUUGUCACAUGACAUGUCACCGGGCGCUUCGUUCGCAAGUCCCCUGUAUACCGUCGGAUUUCGGCGUUUGUUUGCAGCUGACUGCGCCACAAACGCCGCGUCGUCGGCAGUGCGCCGUAAAUCGCUCAGCUCAUCAGGGCAGCUUGUUUCCGAUCAGGAGAAAUUAGACUUUGUUUACGGAAGCUGUGGACGUGUUUCGUCACAUCUCGCUCUCCGUUAGAGGUAUCUGUGGGGAUUUCGUGUGAAUUUUCAUGUUCUAUGCUGACGUCAUCAGUGAAAGUAGCAUUAUCACGCUGCUCCCAAAAUUAUCGGCAAACAACGAAAAGAAGAAAAGAUCUCCUGCCGAAUGUGCCGAUUGGCUGAGGUGGGCCGCGGCGAAUAAUGUCAAACGGUUGCAUCACGUCAUCAUUCGGCUGUUUCCCCACUCCUGAAGACGUGAGCGCCAGUCCCAUCAUGAGCUGAAACUGGGCCUUUCAUUCAGCGGUCGUGCAGUUAGCUCGGUGAUCUAUUAUGGUCACUGGUGCCACGCCCUCUCUAAUUGGCCGCCGAACUCCCGAAAUUACCACGGAGACCGAAUACAUCAGAGCUUGUUGAGAA